rnacentral:rRNA from 1 species
AUGGAGAGUUUGAUCCUGGCUCAGGAUGAACGCUGGCGGUAUGCUUAACACAUGCAAGUCGAACGAGAGUUUUUAACUCUAGUGGCGAACGGGUGCGUAAUACGUGAGAAUCUGCCCUUAGGAGAAGAAUAACUACUGGAAACGGUAGCUAAGUCUUCAUAUGCCGAGAAAAAAA